rnacentral:rRNA from 1 species
CAUGCAAGUCGAACGAGCGAGAGGAGGUUUACUUUCUCAAGCGAGUGGCGAACGGGUGAGUAACGCGUGAGGAACCUGCCUCAAAGAGGGGGACAACAGUUGGAAACGACUGCUAAUACCGCAUAAGCCCACGACCCGGCAUCGGGUAGAGGGAAAAGGAGCAAUCCGCUUUGAGAUGGCCUCGCGUCCGAUUAGCUGGUUGGUGAGGUAACGGCCCACCAAGGCGACGAUCGGUAGCCGGACUGAGAGGUUGAACGGCCACAUUGGGACUGAGACACGGCCCAGACUCCUACGGGAGGCAGCAGUGGGGAAUAUUGCACAAUGGGGGAAACCCUGAUGCAGCGACGCCGCGUGGAGGAAGAAGGUCUUCGGAUUGUAAACUCCUGUUGUUGAGGAAGAUAAUGACGGUACUCAACAAGAAAGUGACGGCUAACUACGUGCCAGCAGCCGCGGUAAAACGUAGGUCACAAGCGUUGUCCGGAAUUACUGGGUGUAAAGGGAGCGCAGGCGGGAAGACAAGUUGGAAGUGAAAUCCAUGGGCUCAACCCAUGAACUGCUUUCAAAACUGUUUUUCUUGAGUAGUGCAGAGGUAGGCGGAAUUCCCGGUGUAGCGGUGGAAUGCGUAGAUAUCGGGAGGAACACCAGUGGCGAAGGCGGCCUACUGGGCACCGACUGACGCUGAGGCUCGAAAGUGUGGGUAGCAAACAGGAUUAGAUACCCUGGUAGUCCACACUGUAAACGAUGAUUACUAGGUGUUGGAGGAUUGACCCCUUCAGUGCCGCAGUUAACACAAUAAGUAAUCCACCUGGGGAGUACGACCGCAAGGUUGAAACUCAAAGGAAUUGACGGGGGCCCGCACAAGCAGUGGAGUAUGUGGUUUAAUUCGACGCACGCGAAGAACCUUACCAAGUCUUGACAUCCC